rnacentral:rRNA from 1 species
GUUGGGAGACUUGAUCUCUUAGUGGCGCAGUUAACGCGAUAAGUAGACCGCCUGGGGAGUACGGCCGCAAGGUUAAAACUCAAAUGAAUUGACGGGGGCCCGCACAAGCGGUGGAGCAUGUGGUUUAAUUCGACGCAACGCGAAGAACCUUACCAGGUCUUGACAUCCUAGAAACUUAGCAGAGAUGCUUUGGUGCCUUCGGGAAUCUAGUGACAGGUGCUGCAUGGCUGUCGUCAGCUCGUGUCGUGAGAUGUUGGGUUAAGUCCCGUAACGAGCGCAACCCUUGUCCUUAGUUGCCAGCACGUAAUGGUGGGAACUCUAAGGAGACUGCCGGUGACAAACCGGAGGAAGGUGGGGACGACGUCAAGUCAUCAUGGCCCUUACGACCUGGGCUACACACGUGCUACAAUGGCCAGUACAGAGGGCUGCAAGCCCGCGAGGGGGAGCUAAUCUCACAAAGCUGGUCGUAGUCCGGAUCGCAGUCUGCAACUCGACUGCGUGAAGUUGGAAUCGCUAGUAAUCGUGAAUCAGAAUGUCACGGUGAGUACGUUCCCGGGCCUUGUACACACCGCCCGUCACACCAUGGGAGUAGGUUGCAAAAGAAGUAGCUAGGCUAACCUUCGGGAGGCCGGUUACCACUUUGUGAUUUAUGACUGGGGUG